ACAUAUGAGGUCCGAACCCCCUGAGUAAAAAAGAAGAAUAGUAGCAAAUAAAGUAAGCAUACGGAUUAGAGACAAGUAUAUUCGCUAACCGCCCGUGCAUACGACACCGCCUAUCUGCUAUCAGCGGUCUGCCAAACAUUCCGUUGUUUUCUAAUCAAUCCCUCCCUCGGCCUUAGCAAUACGACGGUAAGAAAAACCGAUGCUAAUCUUCCUCUCCACACUCCACUUCAAGCCAUGAAUUGCACAAAUUACCAAUGUCUGCUUUUCAUUCUUCAAGACUCAAGUAUCAGCCCACAAGGAUCCGAAGAUUGGUUUGUGGAUGACGAUGAUGACGAGAAUAUGCAAAAGAUUGAGGAAUCAAGUAAACCUCAUCAUGGGAGUGAUAGCUUGAAUUCUGGCCAUUCUGAAUAUGGUGUUCAAUGGUGAGGCGCUUGUUUUGAGGAAACGGAAGAUGAUAUAUAGAUGGAUCAGUGCACAACCUAAAGCAGCACGUUUUUGUGGAUUCUUCAUCUUGAAUUACUAAGUAACCUGAAUUUGGACCUUCUGGAGGUGAUGAUAUUCUUUCUGGGGAGUUUUUGUAAGGGACAAUGGUCUUGUUGUGUACAUUGUCUUCCUACUUACUUUUGUUAAUUAGUAUGCAUUUAAAUUUUGUUUUAUAGUAGUCCUACUAAGAUUAUUGUUGCCUUUUUUGAAGAUAUUUAUCGUGUGCCAAAAAGCUUAUAUUGGCAAUAUGCUCCCAUCAUUUCUAGUUUAAGUUUAGACCAUAACAUAACAUGACAUAAUACUCUACAGAUUAGGUUGACUAGUUGUUUUUCUUAAUAUAACAAAGUAGUUUAA